GAGUUUGAUCCUGGCUCAGAUUGAACGCUGGCGGCAUGCCUUACACAUGCAAGUCGAACGGCAGCACGGGAGCUUGCUCCUGGUGGCGAGUGGCGAACGGGUGAGUAAUGCAUCGGAACGUAUCCUGGAGUGGGGGAUAACGUAGCGAAAGUUACGCUAAUACCGCAUAUUCUGUGAGCAGGAAAGCGGGGGACCUUCGGGCCUCGCGCUCUUGGAGCGGCCGAUGUCGGAUUAGCUAGUUGGUGAGGUAAAGGCUCACCAAGGCGACGAUCCGUAGCAGGUCUGAGAGGAUGAUCUGUCACACUGGAACUGAGACACGGUCCAGACUCCUACGGGAGGCAGCAGUGGGGAAUUUUGGACAAUGGGGGCAACCCUGAUCCAGCCAUGCCGCGUGAGUGAAGAAGGCCU
rnacentral:rRNA from 1 species